rnacentral:rRNA from 1 species
AGAUUGAACGCUGGCGGCAGGCCUAACACAUGCAAGUCGAGCGGUAGAGAGGUGCUUGCAUCUCUUGAGAGCGGCGGACGGGUGAGUAAUGCCUAGGAAUCUGCCUAGUGGUGGGGGAUAACGUUCGGAAACGGACGCUAAUACCGCAUACGUCCUACGGGAGAAAGCGGGGGACCUUCGGGCCUCGCGCCAUUAGAUGAGCCUAGGUCGGAUUAGCUAGUUGGUGAGGUAAUGGCUCACCAAGGCGACGAUCCGUAACUGGUCUGAGAGGAUGAUCAGUCACACGUGAACGUGAGACACGGUCCAGACUCCGUAGGGAGCAGCAGUAGGGAAUAGUGGAACAAGUGGGACGAAAGCCUAGAUCCGAGCCAUCGCCGCGUGUGUAGAAGAGGUCUUACGGAUUAGUAAA